UUUGCUACUCCCUCACCGAUGGGCUAUAGUCCAAUGACUCCUGGAGCUGCGGGCAGUCCAUAUAAUCCGCAAACACCAGGUGCAGGUUUGGAUACCAGUAUCGGCAUCAUAGGAGGAACCGAAUGGCAUACUACAGACAUUGAGGUGAGAAUUCGGGAUACUCAUCAGGAUC